rnacentral:rRNA from 1 species
UACAGAGGUCCCAAGCGUUGUUCGGAUUCAUUGGGCGUAAAGGGUGUGUAGGCGGCGCCGUAAGUCAGGUGUGAAAUCUCGGGGCUUAACUCCGAAACUGCAUUUGAUACUGCGGUGCUUGAGGACUGGAGAGGAGACUGGAAUUUACGGUGUAGCGGUGAAAUGCGUAGAUAUCGUAAGGAAGACCAGUGGCGAAGGCGGGUUGCGUGGGCAAUAACUGACGCUGAGGAGCGAAAGCGUGGGGAGCGAACAGG